GAUGAACGCUGGCGGCGUGCCUAAUACAUGCAAGUCGAGCGAACAGACGAGGAUCUUGCUCCUCUGACGUUAGCGGCGGACGGGUGAGUAACACGUGGAUAACCUACCUAUAAGACUGGGAUAACUUCGGGAAACCGGAGCUAAUACCGGAUAAUAUAUUGAACCGCAUGGUUCAAUAGUGAAAGACGGUUUUGCUGUCACUUAUAGAUGGAUCCGCGCCGCAUUAGCUAGUUGGUAAGGUAACGGCUUACCAAGGCAACGAUGCGUAGCCGACCUGAGAGGGUGAUCGGCCACACUGGAACUGAGACACGGUCCAGACUCCUACGGGAGGCAGCAGUAGGGCAUCUUCCGCAAUGGGCGAAAGCCUGACGGAGCAACGCCGCGUGAGUGAUGAAGGUCUUCGGAUCGUAAAACUCUGUUAUUAGGGAAGAACAAAUGUGUAAGUAACUAUGCACGUCUUGACGGUACCUAAUCAGAAAGCCACGGCUAACUACGUG
rnacentral:rRNA from 1 species